CCUACGGGAGGCAGCAGUGAGGAAUAUUGGUCAAUGGGCUUACGCCUGAACCAGCCAAGUCGCGUGAGGGAAGACUGCUCUAUGGGUUGUAAACCUCUUUUGUCAGGGAGCAACGCCGGCUACGUGUAUCCGGACCGAGAGUACCUGAAGAAAAAGCAUCGGCUAACUCCGUGCCAGCAGCCGCGGUAAUACGGAGGAUGCGAGCGUUAUCCGGUUUUAUUGGGUUAAAAGGGUGCGUAGGCGGAAUGCCAAGUCAGCGGUAAAAGCGCGGGGCUCAACCUCGGUCCGCAGUUGAAACUGGCGUUCUUGAGUGGGCGAGAAGUAAGCGGAAUGCGUGGUGUAGCGGUGAAAUGCAUAGAUAUUACGCAGAACUCCAGUUGCGAAGGCAGCAUACCGGAGCCCAACUGACGCUGAGGCACGAAAGCGUGGGUAUCGAACAGGAUUAGAUACCCUUGUAGUC
rnacentral:rRNA from 1 species